AUGCGUGAGGGGCACUGGAGGCUGAACAGGGCUCUCUGCUGUUACGGGGCCGGGACUGGAAGCAGCUGCCAGAGGCACCUGCACUGCUCGGCCUCCCUGCACUGGACUCAGGCACCCUCUCUUAGGAGGAGCCCCGGCGCUAAUUUGGCCCACGCCGCUCGUUUUACGGGUGAGGAAACUGAGCCAGCCACAGAAAUUUGUUUCCAAGAUGAGGAGAGACCAGAUUGCUUCAACUGUAGUUUAGAAAUCUGUUUGGGACAACAACCCCAUGUUUUGUUUUGUUUUUUUUCUGUGCUGGGGACCAAAUCCAGGCCUGGUGCACAGGGAGCUACACCUCCAGCCCUUGCCCUGCUGCUGAAAUGUAAGAUCCAUGGUACAGAAACUAUACCCGCCCCGGUGCUGAUUUGGACUUCGCAGAAGCCUUCAUUUGUACGCGCACUAACUGUUCCAGCAGGUAACAAGUCCUGCCCAAAUAUAGUGCCGGGCCCUGGGAGAGAGCCUUUUAAGGAAGCUGUGGUGUGUUACCCACCAAGAAUACGAGCCGGACCUGAAACAGCGCCCGACAGGUGGUGGACUCUCAGUAAGUAUCCGGUGAGUAAAUAAUCUAGUGGAGGG
rnacentral:lncRNA from 1 species